UUAAAGUACAACCAUGAUUUUUCGUAAAUUUUGAUCGUCCGUAUUAUUUAAAAAUAUAAGUCAUACAUGAAGCACUAUUCAUGCUUUAUCAUUUCAUAACACUAAAAGUACUAAUUAUAAAAUAUUUUAAAUAAGACGAACGAUCAAAAUUAGGUACGAAAAUUUAUAGUUGCACUUAAA
rnacentral:pre_miRNA from 1 species